UACGUAGGGUGCGAGCGUUAAUCGGAAUUACUGGGCGUAAAGUGUGCACAGGCGGCAAAGCAAGUCGAGUGUGAAAGCCCCGGGCUUAACUUGGGAAUUGCGCUCGAAACUACUUUGCUGGAGUGUGGCAGAGGAAGGUGGAAUUCCACGUGUAGCGGUGAAAUGCGUAGAGAUGUGGAGGAACACCAAUGGCGAAGGCAGCCUUCUGGGCCAACACUGACGCUCAUGCACGAAAGCGUGGGGAGCAAACAGG
rnacentral:rRNA from 1 species